UGGAAUUUGAGCAUGCAAAAGCAAGUGUUGUUGGUCUGGUUAGUAAGGUGAGACCCCCUUGAAUCUGGGUUUACUAAGGUCCAAAAUUUGAGCAUGCAAAAACAAGUGUUGUUGGUCUGGUUAGUAAGGUGGUACACUUUUUCUAUUUGAUAGAAAGGCUUUGAGGUACUUUAGAAAGUAUGGAUAUAAUUGGAGAAAGAAAAAGGAUGGAAAGACUGUGAAAGAAGCUCAUGAAAAGUUGAAGUUAAUUUCUCUUAAGCCACAGUGGUGUCUAGUGCAAAGUGGCCCUUACCCACUAUGUGAAGUUGCUGUGGCAGGAUGAUUUGGUACAGUGGCAGUUGCAGACCUAAUAGCAGGUUGAACGUGGCCUUAUCAGGUGCUAUAAUGUCACUGUUGAUUCCAUGAUCCAUAUGAACAGAUAAAUUAAGGCUAUUUAUGUUAUUUAAUUUCUGUGGAGGGAGGGGAUGCUAUUCCCCAAGGCUCAUGAGGUGUAUGUAUAUAUUUUGGGUUUAUGGGUUGGAUUCGAGCCAGUGGCCUGUGGCCAAUUGCUUGAAUGGGAAAGUGCUUGUGUUUGACCUAGUAUUACGAGUCAAAAGUUGCAUCUCUGCCUUAUGUUGAUAUAAACACUCUUGCCUAUAUCAU